CGAAGACUCGCUGGCGGACACUCCGGGAUACCUUUCUUCGGACAGUUUUGACGGAGGAGGGUCUUCCUGGUGCUCUGCGUCCGCGUCGCCUGCCGCGAGAUGUCGGGAUAUCUAAAAAAAAGCUCACUUGCUGCUGAGCUUGCGGGCAGCUUCGAGCGCCGCAUAUCCGUACUUGGCCAGGUGCUUGGCUUCUUCGGUCUGCUCGUUGAAGGCUGCUACGUACCUCGCAGGAUUGUCCGGACUGAGAAAGAUCCCUGCGCACGUGGAAAUUGGACUCACAGUUAGAAUAAUAACGUACCUGCACCAUUGCCUCUCUCAAGCACUCACCCAUGGAGUAGAGCUUGGGCUCUUUGACGUAGUACAGUUCGUUCAUCGCCUGAAUGCCGUAGUCGGCGGCUUCGAUGAGGUCCUCCUCUCGCGGCUCUAUCCCGACGUCGUCGACAUCUUCCUCCUCGUCAUCCUUGUCUGUUCUGCUGACGACUAUCGACUCGUCGGUUACGUUCACCUUUGAGGACGUCAUCUGUCGUUGCUCCGGUUUGUUGGGACGUUUCCGGACAUUCUCGACGCCGAGGACUUGUGCGCUUGUUAGAACGACACACGAGACUACGACGAUCCUGAGGAUAGUGCCAAUGGUUUCUUUUGCAGAGUGAUUAUUAAAAACCCAUACGAAAAUUAAAUUUUCCCCUCGCGACAACGGAAGUGCGCGCGACGUCGUUAAAAAUUCAAGUGCGCGCAGAGUAUAAUUUUACUUACAGCGAGUAAAUCCUCAUAAUUACACUGCAGCCGAAAUAUUGACACGAGUGGUGCUGGCUCUCUCUCUCUCUCUCUCUCUUUCUCGUGUGUCUCGGGGAAAGAAAGGGACGAACCACCUCGUCGAAACUGCCAAGUGUUUGUCCCUCUUUCUUGACGAGCACCGCGAGUGUUGCUUACGGGCCGGUUAUUUCGCGUCAACUAAACCGGCACAUACUCUCUUUCUCUCAAGAGAGAGAGAGAGAGAGAGAGAGAGAGAGAGAGAGAGAGAGAGAGAGAGAGAGACGACUCGUUGCCCCCUCGGGCUAUGUAUACCUAUAUACACGCUCGCGGACGUAUACUCCUCUCAUCUCUCCUUUCUCUCUUUCUUCCUCUCCGAGAGAGCAUUCGAGCGAGCGUUUGCCUGGACUUCUCGAAAUUCGAGAACAUUUUUGCGCACAGAUGCGAUCUCGCGGCGCUUUAUACUUAUGUCGGGGAAAAAAAGUGUAACGAGCGGCUUGGCUUUUUACUGUUACAAGCUCCCCUUCUCCGAAGCGCCGGAAGAGGAGGAAGAAGAAGAAGAAGAAGAUUCUAAGCGAGAGAGAUGGAAGGAGACGAGUAUGCAAAAAAUCGAACACCUCUCUCUCUCUCUCUCUCUCUCCGCUGGUCGACGACCCGAAAUCACGCCGACGUGUAUAUUUACGCGUAAACUGCUACCGUCGGAUAAGAUCGCCUGUCAUCUCGACAGCUUUAGCGGGAAAUUUGUUUGCGCAUACGAGGGGCGAUCAAACAUUCGAAUUUGCCGCAGAUCAAAUUACAUAAAAAAAAAAAAAAAAAAAGCAAAGAAUCGAAUACUUGUCAACUAAUCGUUGACUAUAAGUUCGGACCUCUUAGACAAAUUAAGCUCCCGAAACUCACCUGACUAGUGUCUGGCCGCCUUCUCCUGGGCCUUGAGACUGGCUAUAGCAGCCCCGCUUCCGUAGAGCACUUUCGCGCGAACCUGCACCCUCCUCUUGGCCUGUACCCCAGCAUUUCCAGCUGUUCCAGGAGCAGUCGCAUUCCCAGCCGAUCCUGAUCCGCAAACGCAACAUCCGCUCGGCGAAGCUUUCGCCAACUGUUGCAGACAACCCCCCGCGUAGUUUGCGCCCCUGCAGCUGGUGCAACCCUCCGACAUCUCGUCUCUCUUCGAGACCCACUGCGAAUUUUUAAUUUUCAUUUUUAUUCGCGAGAAAAAUUCACCGUAUACAUAUACGAGAGAGAGAGAGAGAGAGAGAGACACACGCACAUGUGGGUUAAUCAGUCGUUGGAAUUCCGUUCGCGGAAACGUACACGCGUUGCGACAGCGACACGCGCGAGGAAAGGGAAAAAAUGCUGGAAGGCCGCGAACGGGCGCAACGGGUAAAAAAAAAAAAUGGAAAAACGGUACUCUGCUCCAUAUUUCGCAAUCUGCCGCGAGCGACGCUCGUCAAAUCGUCCGGUUAUGAAUAAUACCCUCGAUAUCGCGCUUAAUUACACGCGUGUGUGUUGAUAUUAAUCGCCUCGCGUCUGUCGCACAAAGAGAAAAACGGCCAGUGUGGUAUAAUGUAACUGUCAAACGCCAAGAUGAUACGCAGCGAUAAUAACGAGGAGUAAAAAAAAAAAAAA